CCAAUUUGGAGAGUUUGAUCCUGGCUCAGGACGAACGCUGGCGGCAUGCCUAAUACAUGCAAGUCGAGCGGAGUUGUUUUGAAAGCUUGCUUUCAAAACAACUUAGCGGCGGACGGGUGAGUAACACGUAGGUAACCUGCCUGUAA
rnacentral:rRNA from 1 species